rnacentral:rRNA from 1 species
AACGAACGCUGGCGGCAGGCUUAACACAUGCAAGUCGAACGCCCCGCAAGGGGAGUGGCAGACGGGUGAGUAACGCGUGGGCAACCUGCCUUCCACUGGGGGGAUAACACAGGGAAACCUGUGCUAAUACCGCAUGACAUCACAUAGGGCAUCCUGUGUGAUCAAAGGAGUGAUCCGGUGGAAGAUGGGCCCGCGUCCCAUCAGCUAGUUGGUAGGGUAGAGGCCUACCAAGGCGACGAUCAGUAGGGGGCGUGAGAGCGUGAACCCCCACACGGGUACUGAGACACGGACCCGACUCCUACGGGAGGCAGCAGUAAGGAAUAUUGGUCAAUGGAGGGAACUCUGAACCAGCCAUGCCGCGUGAAGGAAGAAGGCGCUACGCGUUGUAAACUUCUUUUGGGUGGGACGAAAAUAAUCCAUUUAUGGAUAGCUGACGGUACCAUCAGAAUAAGCACCGGCUAACUCCGUGCCAGCAGCCGCGGUAAGGAGUAGUACA